GCCAUUUUCCCAAGCAAACAGUCGUCACAUGUGUUUUCGUUCUAGAUUUCAUACUGUUGGUGUAAACGAGUUGAUAUUCCACCUGCUGCAAUGAUCAUUCCAAUUCGUUGUUUCACCUGUGGUAAGGUGGUGGGUAAUAAGUGGGAGUCAUAUCUCGGUUUACUCCAAGCUGAAUACACAGAAGGUGAUGCACUGGAUGCCCUUGGUCUGAAAAGAUAUUGUUGCAGAAGAAUGUUAUUAGCCCAUGUGGAUUUGAUUGAAAAGUUACUCAAUUAUGCCCCAUUGGAAAAAUAAUCAAGUCCAUGAAACCAUGUUUUAAAAACUAGACACUAUUAUCCCUCCUUCAUUCCAGGUCAAUUAUGUCAUGCAGUUCAUCAGCUCCUCUGUCGUUUCUGCUUUUUGCGAGCAAAUAGCGACUUACAAAUUUGUCAUUGUUAUGUCCUCACUGCCAUUCCACAAGUGCAGAACUGAUAUCGGUAUAUUUUCCUGUUCCAGUAAUCUGGAAAUUAUUUAUUUUAUACAAUGUUUUAAGGAUGGACAAUUUAAACAUGAAGAUGAUUUUUGCAUUUUGUACUUCAGUAUGCUUGAAUGUUUAAAGAUGGAGCGAUUCAUAAUACAGGAACUGUUAAAAGUACAUUGGAUUGAUAGGGGGGAGUUGUCGGGCUAAGAAGGGAAGAGUGGGUAUAUUCUUUUGUAUGCAAGUCA